rnacentral:rRNA from 1 species
GCCAGCAGCCGCGGUAAUACGAAGGGUGCAAGCGUUAAUCGGAAUUACUGGGCGUAAAGCGCGCGUAGGUGGUUUGUUAAGUUGGAAGUGAAAGCCCCGGGCUCAACCUGGGAACUGCUUUCAAAACUGGCAAGCUAGAGUAUGGCAGAGGGUGGUGGAAUUUCCUGUGUAGCGGUGAAAUGCGUAGAUAUAGGAAGGAACACCAGUGGCGAAGGCGACCACCUGGGCUAAUACUGACACUGAGGUGCGAAAGCGUGGGGAGCAAACAGGA